UACGUAGGGACCAAGCGUUGUUCGGAUUUACUGGGCGUAAAGGGCGCGUAGGCGGCGUGGUAAGUCACUUGUGAAAUCUCUGAGCUUAACUCAGAACGGCCAAGUGAUACUGCUGUGCUAGAGUGCAGAAGGGGCAAUCGGAAUUCUUGGUGUAGCGGUGAAAUGCGUAGAUAUCGAGAGGAACACCUGCGGCGAAGGCGGGUUGCUGGGCUGACACUGACGCUGAGGCGCGAAAGCUAGGGGAGCGAACGGG
rnacentral:rRNA from 1 species